GAACGAACUCUGGUAUUGAUUGGUGCUUGCAUCAUGAUUUACAUUUGCGUUAAUGGCGAACUGGUGAGUAACACGUGGGAAACCUGCCCCGAAGCGGGGGAUAACACCUGGAAACAGAUGCUAAUACCGCAUAACAACUUGGACCGCAUGGUCCGAGUUUGAAAGAUGGCUUCGGCUAUCACUUUUGGAUGGUCCCGCGGCGUAUUAGCUAGAUGGUGGGGUAACGGCUCACCAUGGCAAUGAUACGUAGCCGACCUGAGAGGGUAAUCGGCCACAUUGGGACUGAGACACGGCCCAAACUCCUACGGGAGGCAGCAGUAGGGAAUCUUCCACAAUGGACGAAAGUCUGAUGGAGCAACGCCGCGUGAGUGAAGAAGGGUUUCGGCUCGUAAAACUCUGUUGUUAAAGAAGAACAUAUCUGAGAGUAACUGUUCAGGUAUUGACGGUAUUUAACCAGAAAGCCACGGCUAACUACGUGCCAGCAGCCGCGGUAAUACGUAGGUGGCAAGCGUUGUCCGGAUUUAUUGGGCGUAAAGCGAGCGCAGGCGGUUUUUUAAGUCUGAUGUGAAAGCCUUCGGCUCAACCGAAGAAGUGCAUCGGAAACUGGGAAACUUGAGUGCAGAAGAGGACAGUGGAACUCCAUGUGUAGCGGUGAAAUGCGUAGAUAUAUGGAAGAACACCAGUGGCGAAGGCGGCUGUCUGGUCUGUAACUGACGCUGAGGCUCGAAAGUAUGGGUAGCAAACAGGAUUAGAUACCCUGGUAGUCCAUACCGUAAACGAUGAAUGCUAAGUGUUGGAGGGUUUCCGCCCUUCAGUGCUGCAGCUAACGCAUUAAGCAUUCCGCCUGGGGAGUACGGCCGCAAGGCUGAAACUCAAAGGAAUUGACGGGGGCCCGCACAAGCGGUGGAGCAUGUGGU
rnacentral:rRNA from 1 species